AGUAGGAGGACGACAAAUCAGAUUUUUCCUCCUGAUUUUUAGCUUUUUAAAAAUGCUAAAAAUCAGGAGAAAAAAUCUGAUUUAUCAUUCUUUUAUU
rfam:Gossypium hirsutum cultivar TM-1 unplaced genomic scaffold scaffold154.1, whole genome shotgun sequence